rnacentral:sRNA from 1 species
UAGACUACCUUGGUGGAAUUUGAAAUGC